rnacentral:tRNA from 1 species
AAUGGCGUGCUUGACAAAAAGAUUGUCUUGAUAGGGCAAAUAAUGAGAGCCAACCUCUCCGCCAUUA